rnacentral:rRNA from 1 species
UACGUAGGGGGCAAGCGUUGUCCGGAAUCAUUGGGCGUAAAGCGCGCGUAGGCGGCCCGGUAAGUCCGCUGUAAAAGUCCAGGGCUCAACCCUGGAAAGCCGGUGGAUACUGUCGGGCUAGAGUCCGGAAGAGGCGAGUGGAAUUCCCGGUGUAGCGGUGAAAUGCGUAGAGAUCGGGAGGAACACCAGAGGCGAAGGCGGCGACCUGGACAGUUACUGACACUCAACUACGAAAGCGUGGGGAGCAAACAGG